UUUCCUGCAUUAGUGCAUUUUAUAUUUUCUAGUGAAACCUUGAUAGCCACAGCAACAUAUUAGUUAAGAAAAAAAACAUUUCUGUGCUCCAUUUGAUAGAUAAAUAGAACAAUUUAACUUAAAAAAAUACCUAAAUAAUCUUCUGUGUUAUUUGUGAAAACUAUUUUCUAAAAAAACAAUCUACCGCACAAAUUCUUUGGCACGCCACAUAAAUUCCACCACCAUUUCCACCAUCAAAAUGCACAGCCUCAGCCUUGUGCAUUUAGAAAAAAAAAAUCAUAAAAAUAUGACACAAAAACCACCAACAAUUGAUUUGGAAAAUAAAGUGGAGAUCAAUUCCAGACAUCAAUGACUGAGUUUACAGUUCAAAAGGUUUCUCCACGCUAUCCCGAACAAGUGAAAUGAAUCUUAUGUUUAAUAGAGACUACAAUACAAUACUUGAGUGUGAUCCACAUUCCACAGACUUGUAGUGUCUGCUCUAAUCCUAGACAAAAACAACAUUCAACAAUAGGGAAGUUCGAACAUUUGUCUUUCUAUUUACAGUUACCAUUUUGACGUUUUAAACUCGGCGAAAAUCAAAACAAACCAGCAAAAACAAACCAACAAAACAAAAAAGCAAAAAAUACAGCAUAGAAAUAUAUUUUAAAUUCCGUAAUUUUUUCGAUUUUUAGACACUAAAUUAAGUUAUAGUAGAACGUUACUACCAAAAAAACACUUGAAAUCGAUUUGUAUGAGUUUUUUUUUUUUUACAAACAACAGUUCUUUAAAAUUGCGCGCGUCCUUGAAAAAUUUGGUUUGUUUUGAUCUUCACCCAGUUUAGGAGAUAUUUUUUUCUAUUUUCUUUUGUUCUUUUGGUACUGACAGAUGAGCGAAAUUCCGAAUUCUAUAUCGGGUAUAAACAGAGCAGCGUCAGAGCAGCGUUGCCAGAUUCCCCGAUUUUCGUAUUUCUCCCGAUUUGUUGAGCUAUUUACGAUUGCCCGAUUUUAGCCGUUUUUUAUUAUCACUUGAUCCAUAUAGAUCAUUAACUAAAAUGUAUUAUAACAACUACAUGAGAUCUUGCUUUUUAUCAGGAUCACGAAUCGUGAUCUUGCUUUUCAUCAGGAUCACGAAUCGUGAUCUUGCAAGAUCUCAUGUAGUUGUUGUAAUACAUUUUAAUUAAUGAUCUAUAUGGAUCAAGAGAUAAUAAAAAACGGCUUUUGUGUUUAAAAAUUAGGUUUUCUCCCGAUUUUCAAUUCAAAAAAGAAUGUGCUACCUUAACAUCGUCACUUUUUUCAUAGAAACCUUUAAAAUUUUAUUUUAAAGUUGGCAGAACUUCAAUUAAAUGUUAUAAAAAUUCCUUUCGUCUUAUUUGUUUCCUUUUUUUAAUUUGUUGGUUUUAAUCUAUCAAGAGAAUACCUGAGUAACAAAAAGGAUCAUUCCACAAUUCGUUAUCGACAGACGAUAUCGUUAUGACGAUAAUCUUGCUUCACUUAAAAGCGAUAGUUAACUUUUAUCAGACGACAUCGUUUUGACGAUUGAAAAAUUUUUUUCUGUCUGGUCAAUAAUAUUUUAAAAAAUGUCUUUAAAACGACAGCGCUUAUUGACGAUAGGUAAA